CGGGCCGUAGCGCGCAAUCACGCUCGGCAUGUACGCCUUGCCCAUGCGGCGAUCGUGCAGCAGCGCUUCGAUCAGGUCGUAGCGGCCCGUC
rnacentral:tRNA from 1 species